GAUGAACGCUGGCGGCGUGCUUAACACAUGCAAGUCGAACGAGAAAUGGAGACGGACACCUUCGGGCGGAAGGCUUCAUUUCGAGUGGCGGACGGGUGAGUAACGCGUGGGUAACCUGCCUCAUACAGGGGGAUAACAGUUGGAAACGACUGUUAAUACCGCAUAAGACCACAGCACCGCAUGGUGCGGGGGUAAAAACUCCGGUGGUAUGAGAUGGACCCGCGUUCGAUUAGCCAGUUGGCGGGGUAACGGCCCACCAAAGCGACGAUCGAUAGCCGAUCUGAGAGGAUGACCGGCCACAUUGGGACUGAGACACGGCCCAAACUCCUACGGGAGGCAGCAGUGGGGAAUAUUGCACAAUGGGGGAAACCCUGAUGCAGCGACGCCGCGUGAGUGAAGAAGUACUUCGGUAUGUAAAGCUCUAUCAGCAGGGAAGAAAAUGACGGUACCUGAGGAAGAAGCCCCGGCUAACUACGUG
rnacentral:rRNA from 1 species